rnacentral:rRNA from 1 species
UACGGGGGGGGCAAGCGUUGUUCGGAAUUACUGGGCGUAAAGAGCGUGUAGGCGGCCUGACAAGUCUGCUGUGAAAACUCGAGGCUCAACCUCGAGAUGUCGGCGGAAACUGUCUGGCUAGAGUCCGGGAGAGGUGAGUGGAACUGCGAGUGUAGAGGUGAAAUUCGUAGAUAUUCGCAAGAACACCAGUGGCGAAGGCGGCUCACUGGCCCGAUACUGACGCUGAGGCACGAAAGCGUGGGGAGCAAACAGG